rnacentral:rRNA from 1 species
UACGUAGGGUGCAAGCGUUAAUCGGAAUUACUGGGCGUAAAGCGUGCGCAGGCGGUGAUGUAAGACAGUUGUGAAAUCCCCGGGCUCAACCUGGGAACUGCAUCUGUGACUGCAUCGCUGGAGUACGGUAGAGGGGGAUGGAAUUCCGCGUGUAGCAGUGAGAUGCGUAGAUAUGCGGAGGAACACCGAUGGCGAAGGCAAUCCCCUGGACCUGUACUGACGCUCAUGCACGAAAGCGUGGGGAGCAAACAGG